GAAAUGCGAUAAGUAAUGUGAAUUGCAGAAUUCAGUGAAUCAUCGAAUCUUUGAACGCAUCUUGCGCUCCUUGGUAUUCCUUGGAGCAUGCCUGUUUGAGUAUCAUGAAAUCUUCAAAGUAAAUCUUUUGUUAACUCAAUUGGUUUCUACUUUGGUAUUGGAGGUCUUUGCAGCUUCACACCUGCUCCUCUUUGUUCAUUAGCUGGAUCUCAGUGUUAUGCUUGGUUCCACUCGGCGUGAUAAGUUAUCUAUCGCUGAGGACACUGUAAAAGGUGGCCAAGGUAAAUGCAGAUGAACCGCUUCUAAUGGUCCAUUGACUUGGACAAUACUUUUAUGAUCUGAUCUCAAAUCAGGUAGGACUACCCGCUGAACUUAAGC
rnacentral:misc_RNA from 1 species